GAUGAACGCUGGCGGCGUGCCUAAUACAUGCAAGUCGAGCGAACGGACGAGAAGCUUGCUUCUCUGAUGUUAGCGGCGGACGGGUGAGUAACACGUGGAUAACCUACCUAUAAGACUGGGAUAACUUCGGGAAACCGGAGCUAAUACCGGAUGAUAUUUUGAACCGCAUGGUUCAAAAGUGAAAGACGGUCUUGCUGUCACUUAUAGAUGGAUCCGCGCUGCAUUAGCUAGUUGGUAAGGUAACGGCUUACCAAGGCAACGAUGCAUAGCCGACCUGAGAGGGUGAUCGGCCACACUGGAACUGAGACACGGUCCAGACUCCUACGGGAGGCAGCAGUAGGGAAUCUUCCGCAAUGGGCGAAAGCCUGACGGAGCAACGCCGCGUGAGUGAUGAAGGUCUUCGGAUCGUAAAACUCCGUUAUUAGGGAAGAACAUAUGUGUAAGUAACUGUGCACAUCUUGACGGUACCUAAUCAGAAAGCCACGGCUAACUACGU
rnacentral:rRNA from 1 species